GCAACUUCUGAAAAAGCAGCUUCUCUAAAUAAUGGUAUCAUCUAAAGGAGCUAUCAGGAUCUAAUGUGGAAAUGGAAUGGAUAGCUUUGGAAGGUUCAGUAUCUUCAGGGCAGUGAUUCUUUUUGGAGAUGUGAUGCAUGGAACUGAUACCAGAGUCUUGAUACCACUUUGAGGAUGAAGCUGAGACACAGGAAUGAAUGGACAUAAGAACACUGCAAAACCAUACAGUAGCCACUAA